AGAGUUUGAUCCUGGCUCAGAACGUACGCUGGCGGCACGCCUUAUACAUGCAAGUCGAACGAAGUAGCAAUACUUAGUGGCAGACGGGUGAGUAACAUGUAGGUACCUACCCUUUGGCCUGGAAUAACACGAGGAAACUUGUGCUAAUACCGGAUAAGUCUUUACAGAGAAAGCUUUAUGCACCAUUGGAUGAGCCUGCACUAGAUUAGUUUGUUGGUGGGGUAAUGGCCUACCAAGACUAUGAUCUAUAGCUGAUUUGAGAGGAUGAUCAGCCACAUUGGAACUGAGACACGGUCCAAACUCCUACGGGAGGCAGCAGUAGGGAAUCUUGCACAAUGGAGGAAACUCUGAUGCAGCGAUGCCGCGUGAGUGAAGAAGGCCUUUGGGUUGUAAAGCUCUUUCGUCGGGGAAGAAAAUGACUGUACCCGAAUAAGAAGGUCCGGCUAACUUCGUGCCAGCAGCCGCGGUAAUACGAAGGGACCUAGCGUAGUUCGGAAUUACUGGGCUUAAAGAGUUCGUAGGUGGUUGAAAAAGUUGGUGGUGAAAUCCCAGAGCUUAACUCUGGAACUGCCAUCAAAACUUUUCAGCUAGAGUAUGAUAGAGGAAAGCAGAAUUUCUAGUGUAGAGGUGAAAUUCGUAGAUAUUAGAAAGAAUACCAAUUGCGAAGGCAGCUUUCUGGAUCAUUACUGACACUGAGGAACGAAAGCAUGGGUAGCGAAGAGGAUUAGAUACCCUCGUAGUCCAUGCCGUAA
rnacentral:rRNA from 1 species